rnacentral:rRNA from 1 species
GACGAACGCUGGCGGCGUGCUUAACACAUGCAAGUCGAACGGACAGGCCCUGCUUUUGUGGGGUGCUCGAGUGGCGAACGGGUGAGUAACACGUGAGUAACCUGCCCUUGACUUUGGGGUAACUUCAGGAAACUGGGGCUAAUACAGGAUAGGAGCUCCUGCUGCAUGGUGGGGGUUGGAAAGUUUCGGCGGUUGGGGAUGGACUCGCGGCUUAUCAGCUUGUUGGUGGGGUAGUGGCUUACCAAGGCUUUGACGGGUAGCCGGCCUGAGAGGGUGACCGGCCACAUUGGGACUGAGAUACGGCCCAGACUCCUACGGGAGGCAGCAGUGGGGAAUAUUGCACAAUGGGCGGAAGCCUGAUGCAGCAACGCCGCGUGCGGGAUGACGGCCUUCGGGUUGUAAACCGCUUUCGCCUGUGACGAAGCGUGAGUGACGGUAAUGGGUAAAGAAGCACCGGCUAACUACGUG